CUGAGAGGUAGACUCACCUGAGAGGUAGACUCACCUGAGAGGUAGACUCACCUGAGAGGUAGACUCCACCUGAGAGGUAGACUCACCUGAGAGGUAGACUCACCUGAGAGGUAGACUCACCUGAGAGG